rnacentral:rRNA from 1 species
GACGAACGCUGGCGGCGUGCUUAACACAUGCAAGUCGAACGGUAAGGCCCUUCGGGGUACACGAGUGGCGAACGGGUGAGUAACACGUGGGUGAUCUGCCCUGCACUUCGGGAUAAGCCUGGGAAACUGGGUCUAAUACCGGAUAGGACCACUGCCUGCAUGGGUGGUGGUGGAAAGCUUUUGCGGUGUGGGAUGGGCCCGCGGCCUGUCAGCUUGUUGGUGGGGUGAUGGGCUACCAAGGCGACGACGGGUAGCCGGCCUGAGAGGGUGACCGGCCACACUGGGACUGAGAUACGGCCCAGAAUCCUACGGGAGGCAGCAGUGGGGAAUAUUGCACAAUGGGCGCAAGCCUGAUGCAGCGACGCCGCGUGAGGGAUGACGGCCUUCGGGUUGUAAACCUCUUUCAGCACCGACGAAGCGCAAGUGACGGUAGGUGCAGAAGAAGGACCGGCCAACUACGUGCCAGCCGCCGCCGUAA